rnacentral:rRNA from 1 species
GACGGAGGAGGCAAGCGUUAUCCGGAAUUAUUGGGCGUAAAGCGUCCGCAGGUGGCCUUCCAAGUCUGCUGUCAAAUCCCGAGGCUUAACCUCAGAUUGGCAGUCGAAACUGGUAGGCUAGAGUAUGUUAGGGGUAGGGGGAAUUUUCGGUGUAGCGGUGAAAUGCGUAGAGAUCGGGAAGAACACCGGCGACGAAAGUGCCUUACUGGGCCAUUACUAACAAUAAUAGACGAAAGAUAGGGGAGCGAAAGGG